CAUAAUAAUUUGUCUUUUAAUUAGGGGCUUGAAUGAAAGAUUUGACAUAAAAUAACUGUCUUAAUUUUUACUAAAAAAUUCAUUUUUAGUGAAAACUCUAAAAUAAAAAUAGAAGACGAUAAGACCCUUUAAAAUUUUUCUUAGUUUUAAAUUGGACUAGUCAAACCCGAAAUUAAAGAUUAAUUGGGGAGAUUUUUAUAAACUUAUAAAAACUGUAAAGAAAAAAAACACUUAUAUGUGAA
rnacentral:rRNA from 1 species